AAUAGAUACCCCGGUAGUCCACGCCGUAAACGAUGAAUACUAGGUGUGGGGGUUGUCAUGACCUCCGUGCCGCCGCUAACGCAUUAAGUAUUCCGCCUGGGGAGUACGGUCGCAAGAUUAAAACUCAAAGGAAUUGACGGGGGCCCGCACAAGCAGCGGAGCAUGUGGUUUAAUUCGAAGCAACGCGAAGAACCUUACCUAGACUUGACAUCUCCUGAAUUACUCUGUAAUAGAGGAAGCCCUUCGGGGCAGGAAGACAGGUGGUGCAUGGUUGUCGUCAGCUCGUGUCGUGAGAUGUUGGGUUAAGUCCCGCAACGAGCGCAACCCUUAUUGUUAGUUGCUACCAUUUAGUUGAGCACUCUAGCGAGACUGCCCGGGUUAACCGGGAGGAAGGUGGGGAUGACGUCAAAUCAUCAUGCCCCUUAUGUCUAGGGCUACACACGUGCUACAAUGGCUGGUACAGAGAGAUGCAAUACCGUGAGGUGGAGCCAAACUUUAAAACCAGUCUCAGUUCGGAUUGUAGGCUGAAACUCGCCUAC
rnacentral:rRNA from 1 species